rnacentral:rRNA from 1 species
CGCUAUCACUCCUACGGGGAGGCAGCAGUAGGGAAUCUUCACAAUGGGCGCAAGCCUGAUGGAGCAACACCGCGUGAGUGAAGAAGGGUUUCGGCUCGUAAAGCUCUGUUGUUAAAGAAGAACACGUAUGAGAGUAACUGUUCAUACGUUGACGGUAUUUAACCAGAAAGUCACGGCUAACUACGUGCCAGCAGCCGCGGUAAUACGUAGGUGGCAAGCGUUAUCCGGAUUUAUUGGGCGUAAGAGAGUGCAGGCGGUUUUCUAAGUCUGAUGUGAAAGCCUUCGGCUUAACCGGAGAAGUGCAUCGGAAACUGGAUAACUUGAGUGCAGAAGAGGGUAGUGGAACUCCAUGUGUAGCGGUGGAAUGCGUAGAUAUAUGGAAGAACACCAGUGGCGAAGGCGGCUACCUGGUCUGCAACUGACGCUGAGACUCGAAAGCAUGGGUAGCGAACAGGAUUAGAUACCCUGGUAG